rnacentral:tRNA from 1 species
GCUAUUUUGGCAGAAAAGUGUGAUGGUUUUAGAAAUCAUUUAUAUAUAAAUUUAAUUAUAUAGGUAGUA